GGAGGAGGAGGAGUGGAGGAGCAGGGCCAAGAGGGGACGGCGCUGGGAGGGGAGUAGGGGGCUAGUAGGGCUGGGGGGCCAGGUCUCAGAGGGGAGAGGGAGCUAAGGGAAUGAGAGGGAGGGGCUCAGGGACAGACAGAGGGACGAGGUUAGGGACAGAGAGAGGCUGGGGGUUAGAAGGGCCAGAGGGGACCAAGGAUACAGAGAAGGCGCUGGGAGCGCAGAUGGGGAAGGAAGAGUUGGGGAGGGGUCGGCGAGGGCCUGGGUCGGGGACUGCGGGGCAAAGGUUCAAUAAGGGUCUAAUAGGACGAAGAAGGAGGGAGAGAGCACAGAGGUGAGAAGGGGCAGGGAGGAGACCCUGAGCGGCGGCCACCUCUCCCCUGCCCCGACGCCCCUUGCUCUUGCUUCUUUCAGAUUCCAGAGGAGCUGCUGGGCCUCUGGGACUCCCCGCGCAGCCGUGCGCUCCUGCCCCGGCUGCUGCGCGCCGACCGCUCGCCCCUCAGCGCCCGCCGCGACGUGAGCCGCCGCUGCUGCCUGCGUCCAGGCCACUACCUGGUGGUGCCGAGCACCGCCCACGCCGGCGACGAGGCCGACUUCACUCUGCGUGUCUUCUCCGAGCGCCGCCACACGGCCGUGGAGAUCGACGACGUGAUCAGCGCAGACCUGCAGUCUCUCCAGGUGGGGACUGUUCCUGGAGGGGCGGGAUGGGGUGGGGGUCUUGGCCAGCGCUAAACUUUCGCCAUGCGGCAGGGCCCCUACCUGCCCCUGGAGCUGGGGUUGGAGCAGCUGUUUCAGGAGCUGGCUGGAGAGGAGGAAGAACUCAAUGCCUCUCAGCUCCAGGCCUUACUAAGCAUUGCCCUGGAGCCUGGUGAGUUGGCUGGGAUAGGGGCAGGAGGAGGGGUCUUAGCCAGGGGUCCUGCAACCAGAGCCGGUGCCACCCUAUGUCUAUGAACCCACCACGCUGCUGGGAGUUGGGCUCAGGAAGCCAGGGCUCAGCCUGGCAGCAUCUCCCUGCAGGGGAUCUUGUGUGGGCCCCGUGACCUGGGCCACGGCUGCUCGCAAGCUCCCCUUCCGCUGAAAGGCAAGGCUGCCUUGAGCACAGACUGGGAACCCCCUGCCUGGAUUUGAAUCCCAGCUCUGCUAGGCGCAGCAGUCACUGGCUCCCUGUGCCUCGGCUUCUAUAAUAUGGGACUGACAACAUCACCUGCUUAAGGGAGUCACAUCCACCCAGCCCUUAAAGUGGUGGCCAGAAUGCAGGAAGUGCCGUGGUUUGAUUUUGUUUUUCCUGUAGCCAGGGCCCACACCUCCACCCCCAGAGAGAUCGGGCUCAGGACCUGUGAGCAGCUGCUGCAGUGUUUCGGGCAUGGGCAAAGCCUGGCCUUACACCACUUCCAGCAGCUCUGGGGCCACCUCCUGGAGUGGCAGAUUGGGAAACAGAAGUCCCAAGUGGCUAGGCUGCUUGCUGGGGGUCCACACCAGAAGAAAGGGAGUUGGGAUGGGCACCAGGCUGUCUUGCCUGGGAGGCCCCAUUGGCAGCCCUCUUCAGGGCAUGGAGGGCAGCCCUGACUCAUCCUUCCUGCCCAGGCCAUAUUCGACAAGUUCGAUGAGGACACCUCUGGAACCAUGAACUCCUACGAGCUGAGGCUGGCGCUGAAUGCAGCAGGCUUCCACCUGAACAACCAGCUGACCCAGGCCCUCACCAGCCGCUACCGGGAUAGCCGUCUCCGUGUGGACUUCGAGCGGUUCGUGUCCUGUGUGGCCCACCUCACCUGCAUCUUCUGCCACUGCAGCCAGCACCUGGAUGGGGGUGAGGGGGUCAUCUGCCUGACCCACAGACAGUGGAUGGAGGUGGCCACCUUCUCCUAGGAUCUCCAGAUGGGUGCACCUGCUGCUCAGGGCAGGGUUGCUGAGCAAGACCACCUCCCUAGGCCCUGCCGGGCAUGGGUGCCACUCUCUCUGGCAUCCACCUGCCUGGGGCUAGUCUCUGGCCCUCACUGCUCAUGGCCGGGCGACCACUCUGGCCUGUGUACUCCUCACUCAGAAACAAGAACAGCGACAGCCCCUCUCAAGCAGAUGACACGAGCUAGUCCACGUUGACAGCUUAAGACAGUGCUAGCUCUGCCCUGGCUCUCCUAGAAGGUGGAGGACAGACACAGGAGAAAUAAAAAAAGAUGAUGCUGCAGG
rnacentral:sRNA from 1 species